rnacentral:rRNA from 1 species
UACGGAGGUGGCGAGCGUUAUCCGGAAUUACUGGGCGUAAAGGGUGCGUAGGCGGCUCCUUAAGUGAGGUGUGAAAUCCCUGGGCUCAACCCAGGAACUGCACUUCAAACUGGGGAGCUAGAGUGCAGGAGAGGAAAGCGGAAUUCCCGGUGUAGCGGUGAAAUGCGUAGAGAUCGGGAGGAACACCAGUGGCGAAGGCGGCUUUCUGGACUGUAAAUGACGCUGAGGCACGAAAGCGUGGGGAGCAAACAGG